UUUGUAAACAACUUUUCAUUCAGAAAUUCUGCUUUAAUUGCAAAAUAAUAAGAGGCCUUUUUUUGUCACAUUUUGAAUCUAUACUAUAUUCAAAAUAAGAACAGACCAGACUGCGAACGAAAACACAUUGUUGUUUGUGCAUCUAUCCCCACUAUGGCUUUAUGACUCGCUGUAUACACGGCGGUGAGAUCGACGAUGGUGCACGAUCGUAAACAAUAAUUGCCAAAUAAUUAACAAAUCCAUCAUCAGGUGGUCUAGCAGCGCUAAGAACUCCGUUGCAAUGCGCGAAGGCAAAGAAGUAAAUUUUUUGAUUUUCCUAGGAGUUCCAAAUCCAACAAAUUCAAGGAGUGAUGCAAAAAUAUCCAACA